rnacentral:rRNA from 1 species
GACGAACGCUGGCGGCGUGCUUAACACAUGCAAGUCGAACGGAAAGGCCCUGCUUUUGUGGGGUGCUCGAGUGGUGAACGGGUGAGUAACACGUGAGUAACCUGCCCUUGACUUUGGGAUAACUUCAGGAAACUGGGGCUAAUACCGGAUAGGAGCUCCUGCUGCAUGGUGGGGGUUGGAAAGUUUCGGCGGUUGGGGAUGGACUCGCGGCUUAUCAGCUUGUUGGUGGGGUAGUGGCUUACCAAGGCUUUGACGGGUAGCCGGCCUGAGAGGGUGACCGGCCACAUUGGGACUGAGAUACGGCCCAGACUCCUACGGGAGGCAGCAGUGGGGAAUAUUGCACAAUGGGCGGAAGCCUGAUGCAGCAACGCCGCGUGCGGGAUGACGGCCUUCGGGUUGUAAACCGCUUUCGCCUGUGACGAAGCGUGAGUGACGGUAAUGGGGAAAGAAGCACCGGCUAACUACGU